CAACUCGCCUGCAUGAAGUUGGAAUUGCUAGUAAUCGUGGAUCAGCAUGCCACGGUGAAUACGUUCCCGGGCCUUGUACACACCGCCCGUCACACCAUGAGAGUCGGGAACACCCGAAGUCCGUAGUCUAACCGCAAGGAGGACGCGGCCGAAGGUGGGUCUGAUAAUUGGGGUGAAGUCGUAACAAGGUAAC
rnacentral:rRNA from 1 species